rnacentral:misc_RNA from 1 species
ACACCUCAACUCUUCAUGGUUUUCCAUGAUGAGCUUGGACUUUGGGGGUCUUGCUGGCCUGCGGUCGGCUCCUCUCAAAUGAAUCAGCUUGCCAGUGUUUGGUGGGCAUCACAGGUGUGAUAACUAUCUACGCUUGUGGUUUUCCACCAGGUAACCUUCAGCAGUGGAGGUUCACUGGAGCUCACAGACGUCUCUCCUCAGUGAGGACGACAGCCCUUUGAAU